rnacentral:lncRNA from 1 species
UCCCCUCUUCUCCUCCUCCCUUUGGACAGCAGCCCCGCUAGCCCAAUCCCCUGCCCGCGCCCCUCCCCUCUUCUCCUCCUCCCUCUGGACAGCAGCGCCGCCAGCCCAAUCCCGUGCCCGUGCCCCUCCACCUCCGCCCAGAUCCUCAGCCCGCGCCCCUCUUCCCUCCCCUCUGCUCCCUUCCAACGCCCGCGAGCCUACCCUGC